rnacentral:rRNA from 1 species
AACGAACGCUGGCGGCAUGCCUAACACAUGCAAGUCGAACGAGACCUUCGUGUCUAGUGGCGCACGGGUGCGUAACGCGUGGGAACCUGCCCUUAGGUUCGGAAUAACUCCCCGAAAGGGGUGCUAAUACCGGAUAAUGUCUUCGGACCAGAGAUUUAUCGCCGUUGGAUGGGCCCGCGUUGGUUUAGCUAGUUGGUAGGGUAAAAGCCUACCAAGGCGACGAUCCAUAGCUGGUCUGAGAGGAUGAUCAGCCACACUGGGACUGAGACACGGCCCAGACUCCUACGGGAGGCAGCAGUGGGGAAUAUUGGACAAUGGGCGAAAGCCUGAUCCAGCAAUGCCGCGUGAGUGAUGAAGGCCUUAGGGUUGUAAAGCUCUUUUACCCGGGAUGAUAAUGACAGUACCGGGAGAAUAAGCUCCGGCUAACUCCGUG